GGGUUGGUAAUUUAGAAGGUUCUCGCUCGGCCCGUACCUAACAGAAACUUUAAUUUUUUUUUAAAAAAGAAGUGCAAGCGACAGGGAAACUGAACAGAGGAAGAGAGGAGACGCGGAGGAGCAGCAGGAUCGUUGGUGAGCCAACCAAAAUGGUGGCUGAUGAUGAAAAGGCAUCCACUCUUUGUCCAAAAAGAAAACAUCAAGAUGCAGCAGGCUCUAGUGGCGCUGUUGAUGCUCUCUCUGUUUCCCCAACGAUAACCCUAAUCGACCCCAAAGUGUUAGAUUGCGUCUUCUGCCACACUUUCCUCAGCAUCCCCGUCUACCAGUGUGACAACGGACAUCUGUCCUGCUCUGCCUGCUGCCGCACCUUGAAAAAAACCACUUGCCCUACAUGUUCCUUGCCAAUUGGCAAAAACCAAAGUCUGGCUGUUGAGAAGGUUCUCAAGUCAAUCAAAAUCUCAUGUAAGAACAUAACCUAUGGGUGCAAAGAGACAAUUAGAUUCGACAAAAAAUAUGAUCAUGAGUCCUUUAUGUGCAUCCACCAACCAUGCUCAUGUCCUCAGCAUGGCUGUGAAUUUCUGGCUUCCUCCAAGAUACUGUACUUGCACUACUACGAGAAACAUUUACAUUCCGCUAUCAACUUCAACUACAAUUCCUUUUUUACUGUUCCUAUUAAGAAGGGUGUGAAAAAUGUAAUUCUUCAGGAAAGUACGGACAAAACACUGUUUGUUCUUAAUUAUGGUGUUCAAAGUAUUGGAAGUGUGGCUAAUAUUAUCUGUAUCGCACAAAAAUCAUCCAAGAAAUGUUUCUCAUAUGAACUUGUAGCAUGGAAAGGGGAUAACAGUGUCAAGUUAGAGUCUCUCACUAAGAGUAAGCAAAGCUACUUUCCGUGUCUUCAAUGGUCAUGGUAUCUUUAUUCAACGGCAUUUCUUUUGGUUCCAUCAUAUUUUCUGGAUUCUUCCGGAGGGCACAACUUCCAGGUCUGUAUACGGAGUGGACCACAAGGAAAAUCUUGACAUGAAGACUUGCUUCAGUCAAACUAAGCAUUUUAUCAUAUUGCAAUCAGUUGAAAAUUUAUAGAGGGUGCUUGGCCCGGGAAGUAUGGAGCUUGUUUCGUUAAAAACUCAACUUUUGCUUAUUACUAUGUGUUUGUUUUUAGAAGCAUGUUGUACUUUAUGGGAUUUUAGAAGGAGAAGAAGCGGCCGGUUAGCUUUUUUGUUUGUAGCUAUUAACAUAUCCUUUCUCUGGCUGGAAAAAAAAACACUCAGCUAGUAACAUAUCGUUUAAAUAGAAAAAUACUCUGUCUAGUAGUGAUAUGGACUGAUGUAACGAUGAUCAAACACAAUUUGCUUUUAGUAAUUUGUAUUUUAAGUUGACCGAGUGACUUAA